rnacentral:rRNA from 1 species
AGCGAGGCUGUGAAGCGGAGCAAAUCUCAAAAACCGGUCCCAGUUCGGAUUGUAGGCUGCAACUCGCCUACAUGAAGUCGGAGUUGCUAGUAAUCGCGGAUCAGAAUGCCGCGGUGAAUGCGUUCCCGGGUCUUGUACACACCGCCCGUCACACCAUGGAAGUUGGGGGCGCCCGAAGUUGCCUAAGAAAUAAGGUACCUAAGGCGAAACCAAUGACUGGGGUGAAGUCGUAACAAGGUAUC